rnacentral:rRNA from 1 species
UACGGAGGGUGCAAGCGUUAUCCGGAUUCACUGGGUUUAAAGGGUGCGUAGGCGGGUAGGUAAGUCCGUGGUGAAAUCUCUGAGCUUAACUCAGAGACUGCCGUGGAUACUAUUUGCCUUGAAUAUUGUGGAGGUGAGCGGAAUAUGUCAUGUAGCGGUGAAAUGCUUAGAUAUGACAUAGAACACCAAUUGCGAAGGCAGCUCACUACACAAUGAUUGACGCUGAGGCACGAAAGCGUGGGGAUCAAACAGG